rnacentral:rRNA from 1 species
ACUACGGGAGGCAGCAGUGAGGAAUAUUGGUCAAUGGGCGCGAGCCUGAACCAGCCAAGUAGCGUGAAGGAUGACUGCCCUACGGGUUGUAAACUUCUUUUAUAAAGGAAUAAAGUGAGGCACGUGUGCCUUUUUGUAUGGAAGUUAUGAAUAAGGAUCGGCUAACUCCGUGCCAGCAGGCGCGGUAAUACGGAGGAUCCGAGCGUUAUCCGGAUUUAUUGGGUUUAAAGGGAGCGUCGAUUGGUUGUUACGUCAGUUGUGACCGUUUGCGGCUCAACCGUAAAAUUGCCAUUGAUACUGGCAGUCUUGCGUACAGUUGUGGUUGGCGGAAUUCGUUGUGUAGCGG